GACGAACGCUGGCGGCGUGCCUAAUACAUGCAAGUCGAGCGAAGUUUUUCUGGUGCUUGCACUAGAAAAACUUAGCGGCGAACGGGUGAGUAACACGUAAAGAACCUGCCUCAUAGACUGGGACAACUAUUGGAAACGAUAGCUAAUACCGGAUAACAGCAUUAACUGCAUGGUUGAUGUUUAAAAGUUGGUUAUGCUAACACUAUGAGAUGGCUUUGCGGUGCAUUAGCUAGUUGGUGGGGUAAAGGCCUACCAAGGCGACGAUGCAUAGCCGACCUGAGAGGGUGAUCGGCCACACUGGGACUGAGACACGGCCCAGACUCCUACGGGAGGCAGCAGUAGGGAAUCUUCCGCAAUGGGCGAAAGCCUGACGGAGCAACGCCGCGUGAGUGAAGAAGGAUUUCGGUUCGUAAAGCUCUGUUGUUAGGGAAGAAUGAUUGUGUAGUAACUA
rnacentral:rRNA from 1 species